ACGAACGCUGGCGGCGUGCUUAACACAUGCAAGUCGAACGGAAAGGCUCUGCUUUUGUGGGGUGCUCGAGUGGCGAACGGGGGAGUAACACGUCAGUAACCUGCCCUCGUCUUUGGGAUAACUUUAGGAAACUGGGGCUAAUACCGGCUAUGAGCUCCUCCCGCAUGGUGGGGGUUGGAAUGUUUCGGCGGUUCGGGUUGGACUCGCGGCGUAUCUGCUUGUUUGUGGGGUAGGGGCUUACCAAGGCUUUGACGGGUAGCCGGCGUGAUAGGGUGAGCGGCUGCAUUGUAACUGUGGUAUGGCCCAGACUCCUACGGUAAGCAUCACUGCAGGGUAUUUCAGAAUGGUCGGGAGCCUGAUCGAACAACGCCGCGUGCGGGAUGUGGGGCUUUGAUUUGUAGGCCGAUUUCGCCUGUGACGAAGCGUGAGUGACGGUAAUGGGUGAAGAAGCUCCGGCUAACUACGUG
rnacentral:rRNA from 1 species